GGCUAAGUGGCAGAGUGGUCAUGCAGCGGCCUGCAAAGCCGUGUACGCCGGUUCGAUUCCGACCUUAGCCUCCA
rnacentral:tRNA from 1 species